ensembl:snoRNA small nucleolar RNA SNORA14
ACGCAUUCUCAAACCCUCCUGGUACUGUUGCUGUUAUAACUUCCAGGAUAAGGAUGGAUGCAAGAGAAAAAUGUAGAGUUAUCCAAAAUGCAGAACGUUCUCUCGUACUUCUGCAUUAUUUCACCUCUUCAAUAAAAAACU